rnacentral:rRNA from 1 species
AUUGAACGCUGGCGGCAUGCUUUACACAUGCAAGUCGAACGGUAACAGGCCGCAAGGUGCUGACGAGUGGCGAACGGGUGAGUAAUGCAUCGGAACGUGCCCAGUCGUGGGGGUUAACUACUCGAAAGAGUAGCUAAUACCGCAUACGAUCUAUGGAUGAAAGCGGGGGACCGUAAGGCCUCGCGCGAUUGGAGCGGCCGAUGUCAGAUUAGGUAGUUGGUGGGGUAAAGGCUCACCAAGCCAACGAUCUGUAGCUGGUCUGAGAGGACGACCAGCCACACUGGGACUGAGACACGGCCCAGACUCCUACGGGAGGCAGCAGUGGGGAAUUUUGGACAAUGGGCGCAAGCCUGAUCCAGCAAUGCCGCGUGCAGGAAGAAGGCCUUCGGGUUGUAAACUGCUUUUGUACGGAACGAAACGGCUCUGGUUAAUACCCGGGGCUAAUGACGGUACCGUAAGAAUAAGCACCGGCUAACUACGUG